GAAGAAAAAGUGUGGAAUUUCAACGAAUCAAGCAAUCAAAGGUGGUGAGUCCUUCAAUAAAGGUAAGGGAAUUGUACCCGAGGACCAGUAGUCUGAGUAUUUCGAAAAUCCCCACUCUAGACAUUUGGGCGGAUUUUGUGGACCAGCCUGUUAGAGGGGCACGAAAUUUGGAUAUAAAUAUGUACCUUGGUCGGAGAGGCGCGUAGGGUAUCUCCUGAGGUAUGGUUAAGUCCACGUCACGCCGAACCACCUCGUGACGAUGAA